rnacentral:rRNA from 1 species
UGGGGAAUAUUGCACAAUGGGCGCAAGCCUGAUGCAGCCAUGCCGCGUGUGUGAAGAAGGCCUUCGGGUUGUAAAGCACUUUCAGCGAGGAGGAAGGUGGUGAGCUUAAUACGCUCAUCAAUUGACGUUACUCGCAGAAGAAGCACCGGCUAACUCCGUGCCAGCAGCCGCGGUAAUACGGAGGGUGCAAGCGUUAAUCGGAAUUACUGGGCGUAAAGCGCACGCAGGCGGUUUGUUAAGUCAGAUGUGAAAUCCCCGGGCUCAACCUGGGAACUGCAUUUGAAACUGGCAAGCUAGAGUCUCGUAGAGGGGGGUAGAAUUCCAGGUGUAGCGGUAGAAUGCGUAGAGAUCUGGAGGAAUACCGGUGGCGAAGGCGGCCCCCUGGACGAAGACUGA